GCCAAAAUAGCUCAGGUGGGAGAGCAUUGGACUGAAGAUCUAAAGGCCCCUGCUUCAAGCCUGGGUUUUGGCA